rnacentral:lncRNA from 1 species
UACUAUAUUUGGAUGUCAGAAAAGUAAGAAGCAUGUUUCCCAAACUAAUUGAUGACCAAUUGGAAACUCAAUGUAAAAGAACUAAUUUAUACAUGUUUUCCACAUUAUUAGGCCAUUACGUAUUUAUUUGUCCCCUUUAGUGUGUUACAUAUGCAUCAGAAAUGUUUAUGCUUAUUGCUUCAUAAGAUAUAACCAUUCAAACUUGUAUAUCAGAUAAUCAAAAAUCCACAUCUAUUCAAGCUUCGAAGGACUUUCAAAUAUGGCCUAUGCUUAUUCUCUUUACUGCAUUGUACAUCACCAGAUUUCCUUCUCAUCCAUAUUAGAAUUUACUCGGAGUCUAGCCAAACAUGUUUUCACUUUUUGACAGAACCAUCCGAAACUCGAGAUUAUGUAUUGAUCUGAUGGUCAAACAAGAUGAACCUCAACACGAAAUCUUCUAGACUGCCUAGAAUAAUGCAGUCAUUUUGAUUGUUGAUUUGAAAGAAAACAGAUCUCACAUAUGCAACAGAUGUAUGCAGGUCAGAUGCAACAGUCAAAGGGUGUGGGAAGGAUGAGGAGGGUUUAGUAUUAUGUUAAUUUACAGUUGUGCUAGAAAAAUCGGAAUCAAGGUUAGCAAGAGGAAGAGUGAAGC